rnacentral:lncRNA from 1 species
CCCCCCCAGCUCCUCCCCCGCUCCCCCAUGGGCAGAGUUAGACCAGGCUGGGUGGUCACCUUGCUCUCCUGCUUUCCCCCACUGCCUUCACUGGUCCCUCCUGGAAGGUGCUGCCUUCAUAAGUCACUGGCUCAUAAAUCCUUUUAGCCGUGUCUUAGUGGCCUCAGAGAAGGGUUUACCCAAGAAAGUAUAAAUAGGAAGUGGGACAGCACUUUUGAAGACAAAGCACUUCUCUUGUCACACACCUCUCCUGGAGGAGGAGGCUGAAGUGACUUGCAAAGCCCUUGAGUUUGAAUUAGGUCACGCCCAGCCUUACUGGCAAAUCCCUAGCUGUGACAAGUUGCACGUAGUUGGACGUUUCAGAUGUAUUCCGAUUUUCCUCUGAGCUGUAGGUUUUUAAAGAGAAUGUGUAUUAGUCAGGGUUUGGCCAGGAAAGCAGAUGGCACUCUCCAUUUCAGAUGGAAACGGAUUCCAUUCUGGAGAUGAGGCGCUUACAAAACAGUUGGCAGAGUUGGAAGAGCAAACCGGAUACCAGCUCUCAGAUUUCCUCGAACUUCCAGUGCAAGAGAAAGUGCGGUGAGCGGGCGCACCUGUCUGCAAGAACAAGGGGAGGGGUCUGUUGCCAUGAUUCUCAAAUAACUUUGCCUGAGGUGGAAUCGCACUGUCCUUUCCAGGAGUCAAGCUAAGCAAUGUGCUCUGGUUCGCACUGGUGAGCUUUUGUUCCCUGAACGCUUUCCGUACUGCUUUGGAGGAUGGGAAUACAGAUGGUGGCCUCCCAGCCUCCGGCGGGGUGUUGCCGAGGGCUUGGGGUCCCAUUCCUCAGUGCAUCCUUGGAGAAAAGUGGUCAGUCACUCCCAUCUCCCUGGUCUCUGGCCCCACUCCAUGCUCACCCGCCUGUGACCAAGCAUUUCUAUUUCUGACGUUCAACCACGUGUGGAGUCUCCAAACCCAGCAGAUUCCUGCAGUGCACUGCCAUACUGCUCCUCCCGGGAGAGGAAGGAGGGGGGUCUCUCCAGUUCUGCCACUUUUGGGGCCCCUCCUAAAAGAGUAGAUGACCCAACUGUGCCUUGGAUCGGUUUAAGGUAACCCCAAGCUGAGAGCCCCCUCCUUAGCUCCGUCUCUGUAGCCGGCUUCCCUGCACCAGUACCCGGGAGCUCUGCUGCACUCAGACACCCCCGGCCUUUCUGUGACUCCGAGUGACCUGAGACCACACUGUCCCCGUGAGGGCUCUUAGCUUCUGGAGCAACAUCCCUCAGUGGAGCAGACUUCUAAAAGUUCCAAUUUUGUGUUCCGCUGCUCUGCCGCUUGCCAGGAGCCACGCCCCCCCAAACCCCUGCCCCACCGCAGUCUCUCUUCCCAUCACUUCGGAUUCACUUCUCCACACAUCCUACCUUCCAGAAAGUGGUCGCUUUUCUGUUCCUAGCAUUGCUGC